AGUGUUCUGAGACCGCUCGAGCUUCCCUCUGCUAUGUACAUGCUCUUUGGAAUCGGUCCCAGGCCUACUGAUAUCCUGUGCUUCCUGGAAUCUGACUUGGCUGAUUGGCUCCAAGCCUGUUCCUUGCUUGCGCUUCUUAACCUCAUUCCCUUCCAAUGGUGAGCUAUCAAGGCUUGGAUUUAGUGAAUGCUCCUAUAUCUCAGCCAUGUCUUUGUCCUGUCAAUAUCCAGGAGUUCUUAAGCUGGUGUCCAUGGACCUCCAAGAGAAGGAAGCAUUAGUAGCUGGGGAGAUGAGGAAGAGACAAAUACACAAAUAAAGGCCACCCUUGAGGACAAUGGUAAUAUAAUGGAAGAUGUGCUGGUUCAAAUCGUCCCUGCUGCUUACUAUCUGUGUGACCUUAAGCAACUCACUUAAUCUGAGUUUCUCAGUUUCUUAUCUGCAAAGCAAGAGAAGUGUUGGAAUAGACAAGUCUUUUAA